rnacentral:rRNA from 1 species
UACGUAGGGGGCGAGCGUUGUCCGGAUUUAUUGGGCGUAAAGAGCGUGUAGGCGGCUAGAUAGGUCCGUUGUGAAAACUCGAGGCUCAACCUCGAGACGUCGAUGGAAACCAUCUGGCUAGAGUCCGGAAGAGGAGAGUGGAAUUCCUGGUGUAGCGGUGAAAUGCGCAGAUAUCGGGAAGAACACCCGUGGCUAAGGCGGCUCUCUAGUACGGUACUGACGCUGAGACGCGAAAGCGUGGGGAGCGAACAGG